GACGAACGCUGGCGGCACGCUUAACACAUGCAAGUCGAACGGAAAGGCCUGCUUUCCCUUGUGGAUUGCGGGUACUCGAGUGGCGAACGGGUGAGUAACACGUGAGUGAUCUGCCCCCAACUUGGGUAUAAGCCUGGGAAACUGGGUCUAAUUCCCGAUAGGACUGCAGGGUGGUGCCUGUGGUGGAAAACGAUUUUCUAGUGGUUGGGGAUGAGCUCGCGGCCUAUCAGCUUGUUGGUGGGGUAAUGGCCUACCAAGGCGGCGACGGGUAGCCGGCCUGGGAGGGUGGACGGCCACAUUGGGACUGAGAUACGGCCCAGACUCCUACGGGAGGCAGCAGUGGGGAAUAUUGCACAAUGGGCGGAAGCCUGAUGCAGCGACGCAGCGUGGGGGAUGACGGCCUUCGGGUUGUAAACUCCUUUCGACCGCGAGGAAGCCACCUGGUUGGAAGGGUGGUGACGGUAGUGGUAGAAGAAGCACCGGCUAACUACGUG
rnacentral:rRNA from 1 species